rnacentral:rRNA from 1 species
UUGCUCUUCAACGAGGAAUUCCUUGUAAGCGCAAGUCAUCAGCUUGCGUUGAAUACGUCCCUGCCCUUUGUACACACCGCCCGUCGCUACUACCGAUUGAAUGGCUUAGUGAGGCCCUCGGACUGGCCGCAGGAGAAGGGCAACUUUCACCAGCGGCUGGGAAGUUGGUCAAACUUGGUCAUUUAGAGGAAGUAAAAGUCGUAACAAGGUUUCCGUAGGUGAACCUGCGGAAGGAUCAUUAACGAAUAUGAUUUAUAUCUUCAUUUUUGUGAACACUUUAGUCUUUAUUGACUUUAAUUGCUUCGGUCGCUGUUAGCAGCGGCCGGUAGAAAAACUUUUUAAACUUUAGUCUAAUACUUAAGAUUUUAAUAAUCAAAACUUUCAACAACGGAUCUCUAGGUUCUCGCAUCGAUGAAGAACGCAGCGAAAUGCGAUACGUAAUGUGAAUUGCAGAAUUUUGUGAAUCAUCGAAUCUUUGAACGCACAUUGCGCCUGGUGGUAUUCCGCCAGGCAUGCCUGUUUGAGCGUCAUUACUCUCUCACUCCGGUGGUUUUGUUGUAUCUCUCUCUUUCCUAGGGAAAGUGCAAUGAAAAGUAAUGGCAGUCUAUUAGUGCCUUGGAAACGUGUUUUAGGUCCUACCAACUACACUACUACCACACUAAAAGAAGUCGGCUUGAUAACCCUUUUUUAUCAAAUUUGACCUCAAAUCAGGUAAGACUACCCGCCGAACUUAAGCAUAUCAAUAAGCGGAGGA